rnacentral:rRNA from 1 species
GUCGUAACAAGGUUUCCGUAGGUGAACCUGCGGAAGGAUCAUUAAUGAAUUUUAAACGGAUGGAGUUGUCGCUGGUCUUUCUUAAGGCAUGUGCACGCUUCAUUCAAUUCAUCCAUAUACCUCUGUGCACUCUUCGUAGACUGGCUCGUUAUUAUGGCUAUCUUGGUAGUCAGAGAGUCUAUCUAUGCAUUUUAUCACAAACAUCAUCAGUUCUUUGAAUGUAAAAUUGCUAUAAACGCAUUAAAUACAACUUUCAGCAACGGAUCUCUUGGCUCUCGCAUCGAUGAAGAACGCAGCGAAAUGCGAUAAGUAAUGUGAAUUGCAGAAUUCAGUGAAUCAUCGAAUCUUUGAACGCACCUUGCGCUCCUUGGUAUUCCGAGGAGCAUGCCUGUUUGAGUGUCAUGUAAUCCUCAAUCCCCUUUAGUUUUUACUGACUGGGAUUGGAUCUUGGAGGUUGCUGGUUGAUUCUUCAAUCAGCUCCUCUUAAAUGCAUUAGUGUGAACCCUUGCUCAAGUGUUCUCCAGUGUAAUAAUUAUUUGCGCUGCUAGAGACUUGGCAUUUACAGUGAUUCAUGCUUCCAAUCAUCCCUUGUGGGAUAACAUACUUUGCAUUUGACCUCAAAUCAGGUAGGACUACCCGCUGAACUUAAGCAU